GACGAACGCUGGCGGCGUGCUUAACACAUGCAAGUCGAACGGAAAGGCCCUGCUUUUGUGGGGUGCUCGAGUGGCGAACGGGUGAGUAACACGUGAGUAACCUGCCCUUGACUUUGGGAUAACUUCAGGAAACUGGGGCUAAUACCGGAUAGGAGCUCCUGCUGCAUGGUGGGGGUUGGAAAGUUUCGGCGGUUGGGGAUGGACUCGCGGCUUAUCAGCUUGUUGGUGGGGUAGUGGCUUACCAAGGCUUUGACGGGUAGCCGGCCUGAGAGGGUGACCGGCCAAAUUGGGACUGAGAUACGGCCCAGACUCCUACGGGAGGCAGAAGUGGGGAAUAUUGCAAAAUGGGCGGAAGCCUGAUGCAGCAACGCCGCGUGCGGGAUGACGGCCUUCGGGUUGUAAACCGCUUUCGCCUGUGACGAAGCGUGAGUGACGGUAAUGGGUAAAGAAGCACCGGCUAACUACGUG
rnacentral:rRNA from 1 species